GAAGGAUCAUUACUGUAUGGGCUAUCCCAUCGAGAUGAUACCCUUUGUCUAUAAGUACUUGUUGUUUCCUCGGCAGGCUUGCCUGCCAAUGGGGACCAUUUUCAACCCUUUGCAAUAGCAGUAGCCUCUGAUACUAGUAAUUAUUUACAACUUUCAACAACGGAUCUCUUGGUUCUGGCAUCGAUGAAGAACGCAGCGAAAUGCGAUAAGUAGUGUGAAUUGCAGAAUUUAGUGAAUCAUCGAAUCUUUGAACGCACAUUGCGCCUCUUGGUAUUCCAUGAGGCAUGCCUGUUCGAGCGUCAUUAGAACACUCAAGCUCUGCUUGGUGUUGGGUGUCUGUCCCGCCUCUUGUGCGUGGACUCGCCUUAAAGUCAUUGGCAGCCGCUCUUGUAGGCCUGGAAGCGCAGCAAAGUCCGCGCGGUAGGCUGUCAUGGUGGCGUCCAACAAGCUCUUCUUACACUUGACCUCGGAUCAGGUAGGGAUACCCGCUGAACUUAA
rnacentral:rRNA from 2 species